AUCCAGCUGAUGAGUCUCAAAUAGGACGAAGUGGCACGCAUCUUGGAU
rnacentral:hammerhead_ribozyme from 1 species